rnacentral:hammerhead_ribozyme from 1 species
GCACUGCUGACGAGUCUCACAAACAGGACGAAACAGCUGUCCAGUGC